AAACCUUCUUGACAACUCCCCAUACAGCGCUGUAUUUUGAGAAGUGUUUAUGUUAAAAAGUGUGAGGAGUUUCGAAUAAGAUUACAUUAGGCAAAGUGGUGGCGGGUAUUUAAAUGUCGCCCAUGGCUGACUAUAAUGUUUUUACUUAUUAUUAAAUAUCAGGAGUACAAAGCUCUAAAAGAUGUUUGAAUCGUAGUAAAAAAAAGUGCCAAGAAGUUUUUUCCAUACUUAAUAAGUUCAUAAACAAGUACUUGAGGAUUCGAGAGCAAUUAACCUUUUAAAGCUGUUAGCCGCGUUUUGCAUUAUAUCUUUAAUUCAUAUAUAUUGUGUACAACCUAAGUCAUACACAUACCAUGUUCUUUUCGUUAAGAAUUCUGCUGAACUCGUCUGGAUCAUCACCAGAUAUAACAUGGUCGGUGGCGAUCCUGACGUCGCCGAUUGAGAUUGAUAAUGCGAAUGAUGGGACGAAAUUACAGGUGAUACCACGGACCACCAUGAGGAUCGCGUAAUGGCUCCUAGUCAAUAAUGACAACCUUAGGUAGACAAGGUGCAGCACUAUUGUUAAAAAUAUCUUCAACAUCGUUAAAUUUGUCGGUCAGCUUCUUCAGAUGUUUGCGUAACUUCAAGAUCGCACUUUGCGUAAGUUUGGAAGGCUUGUGGGAUUCCACCUCUCUCUGACGACAUUCCUUAGAUAACCACCGUAAACCUUUUAACAAACAAAUGAGAUAAUCAAAUUGCGUACCACUACCUACUUGCCUAUCUGCACACUUGUAAUAAGUGACAUUAUCACACUCGCAACAAACAUCGUCUGGUUUCUUCUACUUAGGAUAGCAGCAGGUGCACUUCACAACAGGUAUUAUUAAGCAAAAAUUUGCAUUAUUAUAGGAAAAUAAAUAAAAUAACUUUCCAUAUGGUAACUGAAAAACAAAGUUAGUCUUGUUUCUGUUAUCGUUGUUACAAACGUAACUGAGAGCCUAGCGCUCCAAAUAUAAGGAAAUCAAAUUUGUUUGGGAUCGUUUAGAUUGCAGGGCAUUUGUGUUCUUUUAUCACGUUUAU